rnacentral:ncRNA from 1 species
UCCGCCUCCAGUGUUCGCGGUGCCUUAAGGCUAUGUCUGCCAAGAGGUGAAACGGGAAACAGGUGCAAGACCUGUGCUGCCCCCGCAACGGUAAGGAAGUGAGGGACCGCCCCCUCAGCCACUGGGCAUCUGCCUGGGAAGGCUGCGGUUCAAGACUUCCGAGCCCGGAGACCGGCCACGGACAUCACCACGGUA